CAGAACCCUACGUAAGGGUUCUGUCCAUCAGAACGCAAGGGUUAAGAAGUGGGAGCAUUUACAAAACAGAUUCGUUUCUACAGUGUUUUUCCUUCAGUGAAUGAACUCGUCAUCUCAAUGCUGCCGUGACUUCUUUUUCUUAGGCCCCUGGCUCAGGGCUGAGAAUCUCCAGAUGCUGUUAUGUAUUGUGCAGUUUGGGUUGCUAUGGUGCUGGGAAUGGCCUGUAAAUGCUGAAAUCCUGCCAUUGCAAGGGUGCCUCUUAGAGGAUGACGUGUUAUAUGUGGAUUUGGGUUACGUGUAGAUUUAGCCUCCGUGACAUCGGAGAUGUGAUUUGGUGCUUCUCAUCCUCUUCAGAUCCUAAUCUGAUCACCUUCUUGACCGUGUCAAUGGACUGAGUUACAAUAGAUUGUUCAAAUAGCCAAAUAACCCAUUUAAUAAAAGGAUGCUGAGCUCAAA